CCUACGGGCGGCUGCAGUGAGGAAUAUUGGUCAAUGGACGCGAGUCUGAACCAGCCAAGUAGCGUGAAGGAUGACUGCCCUCUGGGUUGUAAACUUCUUUUAUAUGGGAAUAAAACGUUCCACGUGUGGGAUUUUGUAUGUACCCUAUGAAUAAGAAUCGGCUAUCUCCGUGCCAGCAGCCGCGGUAAUACGGAGGAUCCGAGCGUUAUCCGGAUUUAUUGGGUUUAAAGGGGGCGUAGGUGGAUUGUUAAGUCAGUUGUGAAAGUUUGCGGCUCAACCGUAAAAUUGCAGUUGAAACUGGCAGUCUUGAGUACAGUAGAGGUGGGCGGAAUUCGUGGUGUAGCGGUGAAAUGCUUAGAUAUCAUGAAGAACUCCGAUUGCGAAGGCAGUUCACUGGACUGCAACUGACACUGAGGCUCGAAAGUGUGGGUAUCAAACAGGAUUAGAUACCCGUGUAGUC
rnacentral:rRNA from 1 species